rnacentral:rRNA from 1 species
GAUGAACGCUGGCGGCGUGCCUUAGACAUGCAAGUCGAACGAAGCACCUUGCGCUGAUCGCUUCGGUGUGAAGCAAUAGGUGACUUAGUGGCGAACGGGUGAGUAACACGUGGGUGACCUGCCCCGAAGUGCGGCAUAACAGGGGGAAACUCCUGCUAAUCCCGCAUGUGCUCCCACCUCUUGUGGUGUGAGUAAAGAUUUAUCGCUUCGGGAUGGGCCCGCGGUCCAUCAGCUAGUUGGUAGGGUAAUGGCCUACCAAGGCUACGACGGAUAGCCGGCCUGAGAGGGUGAUCGGCCACAGGGGCACUGAGAUACGGGCCCCACUCCUACGGGAGGCAGCAGUUAGGAAUCUUCCACAAUGGGCGAAAGCCUGAUGGAGCGACGCCGCGUGAGGGAUGAAGGCCUUAGGGUUGUAAACCUCUAAAAGAGGGACGAUAAUGACGGUACCUCUUGAAUAGCACCGGCUAACUCCGUGCCAGCAGCCGCGGUAAAUACG